CCUACGGGUGGCAGCAGUGAGGAAUAUUGGUCAAUGGGCGCGAGCCUGAACCAGCCAAGUAGCGUGAAGGAUGACUGCCCUACGGGUUGUAAACUUCUUUUAUAAAGGAAUAAAGUGAGGCACGUGUCCCUUUUUGUAUGUACUUUAUGAAUAAGGAUCGGCUAACUCCGUGCCAGCAGCCGCGGUAAUACGGAGGAUCCGAGCGUUAUCCGGAUUUAUUGGGUUUAAAGGGUGCGUAGAUGGGUUGUUAAGUCAGUUGUGAAAGUUUGCGGCUCAACCGUAAAAUUGCAGUUGAUACUGGGGGGCUUGAGUACAGUUGAGGCAGGCGGAAUGCGUGGUGUAGCGGUGAAAUGCUUAGAUAUCACGAAGAACCCCGAUUGCGAAGGCAGCUUACUAAGCUGUCACUGACAUUGAUGCUCGAAAGUGUGGGGAUCAAACAGGAUUAGAUACCCCUGUAGUC
rnacentral:rRNA from 1 species